rnacentral:rRNA from 1 species
UACAGAGGGUGCGAGCGUUGUCCGGAAUCACUGGGCGUAAAGGGCGCGUAGGUGGCCCGACAAGUCAAUGGUGAAAGCUCGACGCUCAACGUCGAGUCGGCCGCUGAUACUGUUGGGCUGGAGCACUGUAGAGGCUCAUGGAAUUCCGGGUGUAGCGGUGGAAUGCGUAGAGAUCCGGAAGAACACCGGUGGCGAAGGCGGUGAGCUGGGCAGUAGCUGACACUGAGGCGCGACAGCGUGGGGAGCAAACAGG